CUUUACUGCUGGAUGGGAAAGUUGACUUCGGGUCGUUUUUCACAUACCUGAAGGACUGGGCUGCCAUUGGGACAACCCAUCCCGACUUGCCGAUCUUGACCCUGGUGUAUGAAGAUCUAAAAGAGGAUCCACUUUCCGGUAUUAGAAAGUUAGCUAAGUUUCUGAAUGCUGAGAAAUCAGAGGAAUUCUACCUUAAAGUAAAAGAGUUG